AUGUCUACCUCAGAGGUUUCCGAGAGUGCCGAUUCCAUGGAUGAGGAUAUGAGUCAAGUACCACGUGUUAGAAGGUCCAAGGUGUGGGAGCAUUAUGAACAAGAUCUAGUUCGCAUACAUGGUGAUCUCAAGGCUGUGUGCAAAUAUUGUGGGACACAACUUCACACCAAGUUUGGGACUACGAGUUUGAGAACCCAUAUUGCAGAGUCUUGCAAAUCAAUUGAGGAUGGUUGCAGGAAGAGUUUUCUGUUGACUAUGAAAAAACAACUUCCGAAGGCCCGUUUGUGUUUGGUCAGAAAGCUUGCCGUGAUCUCAUGGUCAAGUUCUGCAUCCAUGCUGAGAUCCCCUUUCUUAAGUUUGAAGAUCCAUACCUUCAACCAUGGAUUGACUCAAUGCAACCAGCAUUUCAAGUCAUGGGUCGUCACACGAUUCGCGAUGAUGCAGUGA
rnacentral:rRNA from 1 species